rnacentral:rRNA from 1 species
UCCCGUUGAUUCUGCGGGGGAUUGCUGCUAUCGGGAUUCGCUUAAGCCAUGUAAGUUAGGUCAGUAAUGGCCGGCAAUAGGCUCAGUAAUACGUCGAUAAUUUGCCCUUAGGUUGAGUAUAUUUAUGGAAAAUUGUGGUUAAUAUUUGUUAUUGAAAGGAUUUUGGAAUGAAUUUUUCGUUAAAUGUAAGGCCUAAGGAUGAGUCGGCGGCGGAUUAGGUAGAUGGUGGUGUAAUGGACCACCAUAUUAAAGAUCCGUAGGGGUUUUGAGAGGGGUAGCCCCGAGAGGGACAUUGAAAUAUUGGUCCCAGCUUUAUGGAGUGUAGUAGGCGCGUAACCUCCACAAUGCGUGAAAGUGUGAUGGGGGGAUCCCGAGUGCUUACAUUAUAUGUAAGCUUUUGCCAAGAGUAAAUAUCUUGGAGAAUAAGUGGUGGGUAAGAUUGGUGUUAGUAGUUGUGGUAAUUUUGGCGCCACAAGUGGCAAUCUUGUAUUUGGCCUAAAGCAUUCGUAGCCGGCUCGAAAAAUCUUUUGUGAAAUUGUUGAAUUUAAUAUAAUAGUAUGCAGGGGACACUUUCGAGCUAGAGACUGGGAGGAGUUAGGGGUAUUUCUAGGGGAGUGGUUAAAUGUGAUAAUCCUAGAAAGACCACCUGUGGCGAAGGCGCCUAACUAGAACAGUUCUGACGGUGAGGGAUGAAAGCUAGGGGAGUGAUUCGGAUUAGAUAUCCGAGUAGUCCUAGCUGUAAACACUGUGAGCUAGGUGUCGCAUAUUCUAAGCGAAUGUGCGGUGUCGAAACGAAGGUGAUAAGCUCACCGCCUGGGAAGUACGGUCGCAAGACUGAAACUUAAAGGAAUUGGCGGGGGAAUACACCAGGAGUGCGGCGUGCGGUUUAAUCUAACUCAACGUAGAACACCUUACUAGAAGCGACGGCAGGAUGAAGACCAGUCUAAAGGGCUUGUCUGACGAGCCGAGAGGUAGUGCAUGGCCGCCGUUAGCUCGUGUUGUAAGAUGUUUUGUUAAGUUAGGCAAUGAGCAAGACCUGUACCUAUAAUUGCAAAUAGGUUUUUUGGGGUGAUUGUGCAUAUUAUAGGGACUGCCUUCGUAAGAAGGAGGAAGGUGCAGGCAACGGUAGGUCUGUAUGCUCCGAAUCUUCUAGGCUACACGCGCGCAACAGUGGUAAAGACAAUGGGAUGCAACACCGAAAGGUGAAGCUAAUCCUCGAAACUUUAUCGUAGUUUAGAUUGUGGGUUGCAACUCACCCACAUGACAACGGAAUUCCUAGUAAUCAGACUUCAUCAUAGUCUGGUGAAUAUGUCCCUGUUCCUUGCACACACCGCCCGUCAAGCCAACCGAGCAGGCUUUUGAUGAGUUUAAAUUUUUUUGAUUUAAACGAAUCUAAGGUCAGUAAGGUGGGUUAAGUCGUCACAAGGUC